rnacentral:rRNA from 1 species
AUGAACGCUAGCUACAGGCUUAACACAUGCAAGUCGAGGGGCAGCAUGAACUUAGCUUGCUAAGUUUGAUGGCGACCGGCGCACGGGUGAGUAACACGUAUCCAACCUGCCGAUGACUCGGGGAUAGCCUUUCGAAAGAAAGAUUAAUACCCGAUGGCAUAGUUCUUCCGCAUGGUAGAACUAUUAAAGAAUUUCGGUCAUCGAUGGGGAUGCGUUCCAUUAGGUUGUUGGCGGGGUAACGGCCCACCAAGCCUUCGAUGGAUAGGGGUUCUGAGAGGAAGGUCCCCCACAUUGGAACUGAGACGCGGUCCAAACUCCUACGGGAGGCAGCAGUGAGGAAUAUUGGUCAAUGGACGAGAGUCUGAACCAGCCAAGUAGCGUGAAGGAUGACUGCCCUAUGGGUUGUAAACUUCUUUUAUACGGGAAUAAAGUGAGGCACGUGUGCCUUUUUGUAUGUACCGUAUGAAUAAGGAUCGGCUAACUCCGUGCCAGCAGCCGCGGUAAUACGGAGGAUCCGAGCGUUAUCCGGAUUUAUUGGGUUUAAAGGGAGCGUAGGCGGACGCUUAAGUCAGUUGUGAAAGUUUGCGGCUCAACCGUAAAAUUGCAGUUGAUACUGGGUGUCUUGAGUACAGUAGAGGCAGGCGGAAUUCGUGGUGUAGCGGUGAAAUGCUUAGAUAUCACGAAGAACUCCGAUUGCGAAGGCAGCCUGCUGGACUGUAACUGACGCUGAUGCUCGAAAGUGUGGGUAUCAAACAGGAUUAGAUACCCUGGUAGUCCACACAGUAAACGAUGAAUACUCGCUGUUUGCGAUAUACAGUAAGCGGCCAAGCGAAAGCGUUAAGUAUUCCACCUGGGGAGUACGCCGGCAACGGUGAAACUCAAAGGAAUUGACGGGGGCCCGCACAAGCGGAGGAACAUGUGGUUUAAUUCGAUGAUACGCGAGGAACCUUACCCGGGCUCAAACGCACGACGGCGGCACGUGAAAGCGUGCUUACCUACGGGACGUUGUGCGAGGUGCUGCAUGGUUGUCGUCAGCUCGUGCCGUGAGGUGUCGGCUUAAGUGCCAUAACGAGCGCAACCCUUAUCGAUAGUUACCAUCAGGUUAUGCUGGGGACUCUGUCGAGACUGCCGUCGUAAGAUGUGAGGAAGGUGGGGAUGACGUCAAAUCAGCACGGCCCUUACGUCCGGGGCUACACACGUGUUACAAUGGGGGGUACAGAAGGCAGCUACACGGCGACGUGAUGCUAAUCCCUAAAGCCUCUCUCAGUUCGGAUUGGAGUCUGCAACCCGACUCCAUGAAGCUGGAUUCGCUAGUAAUCGCGCAUCAGCCACGGCGCGGUGAAUACGUUCCCGGGCCUUGUACACACCGCCCGUCAAGCCAUGAAAGCCGGGGGUACCUGAAGUGCGUAACCGCAAGGAGCGCCCUAGGGUAAAACUGGUGAUUGGGGCU